GUUAUAUUGGCAGAUAAGUGCCUUGAAUUUAGAAUUCAAUUAUAUAAUUUUUUAUAUAUAACA
rnacentral:tRNA from 1 species